CACAAGAGAAAGAGAAAACUGAAAAGGUUACUGGCCAAGCUACUGAGAGUGGCUCUGGGAAAAGAAAACAUUUUGGAGGGUCUAGCUCGCGCAAAUCAGGUAGAGAUGGAUCUUCUGGACAGAAACCACCCCAAUCCGAUCGGCAAACUCAACAGACGCGCAGAAAAACGCUGUCGGAUCGACUUUGUGAGACUUGUGGUAAACCACAUAGUGGAGUAUGUUAUAGAGCUAUAGGAGCAUGUUUCAAUUGUGGAGGGACUGGUCAUUUUGCUAAGGAUUGCGUAAGUCCACGCCGUUAUGGAUCAUUUACCACGUCAAAAGGAUCAGCUCAAGUUUCUACCCCAAAGAGUUCACCAGCAGUUGGUAGAGGCGGAGGCAGAGGUAGGGGUAGUAUGCUUGGAAGUCAGAAUAUUGUAAAUCAACCAGGACAAGGUAAUGCUCCAGUGAGAGUAUACACUAUGCGACAGAGGAAUGAGGAUGAAACUUUUGACAUGGUUCCUGAUAGAGAAAAGGACAUAGCAAUAGAGUGAGCUGCUACAGUCAGAGAGAAGCACGGUUGAAGAAUUUCUAUAC
rnacentral:misc_RNA from 1 species